rnacentral:tRNA from 1 species
GCGCCUGUAGUUCAGUGGUAGAACCGUAGCCUUCCAAGCUACUAGCGUCAGUUCGAUUCUGACCAGGCGCU